GUUUAAACAGAAAACUAAAAGCAAACCUGAUAAAUGUUUGUUCUGCAUUUUACAACUGACAUUAUUUUGGAGGUAUUUCUGUUAAAAAAUAGCAAUAUUAUACAACUGCAUUCGGGGUAGGAAUCUGCCCUGCAAAAUGUACCAGUGUUUAUGAAGGGCAUGUGGUGACCUUAACCCAAGGCAAGAGACUGCAGGUGCAAGGUGAGGAGGUGUAGAUGAAAGGGAAGUGAUGAAGGUGGUUCAGGUCCCCUAGCAGCUGGGGCUCUGUGUGAGGUUGGGUGUUCUGCUUAGACCUGUGGAGUAGCAUGCUGGCCACAGCCACUGCCCUGCAAGAUGGGACAAGAGCUGGAAGGGAGGCACCUGCCCUUAUAAUCAACACUCUGAGUAGAUGGAGAGAAGGUCUUCAUGUGUUCAACCUUCAUGCACUGCUGAUAUCCAGAUGGAUAAACUUCACUCUCCUGUGUUGCAGAGGCCUUUCCUCUUCCUCAAAGCUUUCCUUGUCUGCAAGAGCUGCCUUCGUGAUCAGGGCCUCCAAAUGUUAUUUGCAGGACUGAUAAGCUAAUGCAACAACCUUUUAAAGAAAGAUCAAACAUCCAGGGUGGCAUUCCCUUCACCUCAUGUAAAUGUAUAACCUGAAUGAAAACUGAGAGUCUCCAUUUACAUUUAUGGUAAAGAAGCAAACACUUCUUUGAUGUGGCUCACAGUAUUCUAAGCAAGACACCUGGGGAGAGAUGAGGCGCUUUAAAAGUCAUCUAAUGUAUUGCUUCAUCCCUACCUGUCUGAAGUGGUAAGUGUCCCAUUACAGUGCCUUUUCCCCCUUGUUUGUAGAAUACCAUGUGCUUUUCCAGGAGCGCUGCCUGAGCUGGAUCAAAUACUGAGAAGUCUGGGUGAAUCUGAACAAUUAUUUGCACAAAAAUAACCACUUUCAGAUCACUUUUUUUAGGAUCUGAAAGACUGCAACAAAGGAAACUAUUCUAGUGGUGAUUAGCAGUAGGUGUUUUUGCUUUUGGAAUAUGUAUGAAAAGGAUGACAUGGAAAAAAGGAUGAUGUCAUGGAUGACAUUCAAAUCGAUUAAAAAGAAAUGAUGGUGUUACUCCUAUGGAAACAGCAGAACAAAUAUAUAAUGAUCAAUUCAAACAUCCAUAAAAACUUUAUUUUUGAGUUAACGUGAUUUUAAGAUCUCUUUCUGUGAAAGCAUUCGGUAAAAUAAAGAUUGGCAUCUUCAUGAGAAUUACA
rnacentral:lncRNA from 1 species